UCGUGCUUGCAUGCAACUCUACGUUUGAUCCCUUUGUUGAAGCAAAUCCGAAAAGGUCUUCAAGUAUACAAUUUCGUGGACAUCCUGGAAAACCAUUCAGGUCUUUGCAAACAGUUCUUUGUCCCCGGUGUGGUGGAUGAAGAUGAUGAUAAGGCUGAUGCAGACUUCAUCAUGCAGAACAUUCUUCCGAAAAUUUCAGAGAAGGGAUCAGUACGGGAGACUUCUGAAACAGCUAUAAUCAACUUUCUGCAAGACUUUCUCCAAGAAAUUGAAAGCUGUUAGGAUAACCCUGAUGGAGACAUCCUGCCCUUAACUGUUCCCCGUGUAAUGCAAUGGCUUACUGGCCAGGGACACAAACCUCUUCUAAUGUCAGAUCUUAAAGAAUUCAAAAUCUCUCUACAUUUUGACCAUGAGUGUAUGAAGAGGAUGCCAGAACACAAAAUAUGCUUCCCAGUUGUAAGUGCCUGUGCCAGGAAAAUUACAUUUCCCACAGCACAUAUGGGUGACUAUAAUUCUUUUAAAUCAGUCAUGUUGCAAGCCAUCCAGUUUGACUAUGGAUUUAACCGAUUUUAAAAUGUACAAGUGUACAAUGCCAUACAUUUGGUAACAUGUUCGAAAUGUUUUUGAUAUGUCUUACUGUAUAUAUGUGCAGAGAACACAACCUGUUACACAUUGUUAAAUGUUCUUAUGAUUGUGUAUACAACUGCAUGUGUUCAGGGAACACAACUUGUCAUACAAGUGUUUUCUUCUGCUUUAAAUAUAGAAAAUAAAGCCAGCAUGCAAUGUCAACGUUUAAUUCAAGAGUUUUAUUAAUUGCAUUGGAUGUUCAUUUACUUUGAUAAUUUGGUCACAAGUCAUUUCAAUGUCGUCCAUUAAGUAUGAAGUAGCACAAAAUUUAAAACCGC